rnacentral:rRNA from 1 species
UACGAAGGGGGCUAGCGUUGCUCGGAAUCACUGGGCGUAAAGGGUGCGUAGGCGGGUCUUAAGUCAGGGGUGAAAUCCUGGAGCUCAACUCCAGAACUGCCUUUGAUACUGAAGAUCUUGAGUUCGGGAGAGGUGAGUGGAACUGCGAGUGUAGAGGUGAAAUUCGUAGAUAUUCGCAAGAACACCAGUGGCGAAGGCGGCUCACUGGCCCGAUACUGACGCUGAGGUGCGAAAGCGUGGGGAGCAAACAGGG